rnacentral:tRNA from 1 species
GGAGAGAUGGCCGAGCUGGCUGAAGGCGGCAUCCUGCUAAGAUGUUGUACUCUGUUGAAGGGUACCGAGGGUUCGAAUCCCUCUCUCUCCGCCA